GCACGUCCGCCGGCUCGCCCAGGGAGUCA
rnacentral:sRNA from 1 species